GACGAACGCUGGCGGCGUGCUUAACACAUGCAAGUCGAACGGUGAAGCGCCUUCCUUUUUGGUGGGUGUGGAUGAGUGGCGAACGGGUGAGUAACACGUGAGUAACCUGCCCCCUUCUUCUGGAUAACCGCAUGAAAGUGUGGCUAAUACGGGAUAUUCUGGGUCUGUCGCAUGAUGGGUCUGGGCAAGAUAUUGUUUCGGUGGGGGAUGGGCUCGCGGCCUAUCAGUUUGUUGGUGGGGUGAUGGCCUACCAAGACGGUGAGGGGUAGCCGGCCUGGGAGGGUGGACUGUAACACUGGGGCGGAGACGCAGCCCAGACUCCUGCGGGAGGCAGCAGUGAGGAAUGUUGCACAAUGGGCGCAAGCCUGAUGCAGCGACGCCGCGUGGAGGAUGGAGGCCUUCGUGUUGUGAACCUCUUGCGCCAUGGAAGCAGGGCUACCUCGUUUGUGGGUGGGUUGACGGUAGCAGGAUAAGAAGCGCCGGCUAACUACGUG
rnacentral:rRNA from 1 species